AGCCAUUCUUCUUCCCUGCCCCAAGUUUCUGUGGUUGCCCUCACCAGUGGAAAUCACAAGCUCCUUAAUCUUCUUGACCUGGCCCAUGUGAUUUCCUUUGAACCAGAGUUAAAAAUCCUGUGAAAGGAUGAUCAAUUGACAUCCAGCUUUCUUCAUGCCACGGUCAAGAACUUGUGGAAAUCUUCAGCUUCCAGGGGAACCUGCCACCUAGCAGGAAUAUACUGUGCCUGAGAGACAAGUCCUGGAGAUCUCUCAUACUGACCCAGAGGAGUAGAGAGAGGAGCCAUAGCACAACUGCAUUCCCAAUGGUCUCUGCCAUCCUUCCUUCCUCAAAAACCCCAGCUAGAGGUCCAGUGAUUUCAGUGGAGAUACUGCUGACUUACACCAGCAUCCAGGCACCUACUGACUGAGAACAAAGUGACCACCAAAAGCGGGACUUUGUGGGCCAGUUGGAUAAAACAUAAGCUCAUCUCGCCCCCAAAACCCCGACUCUGGAACCACAACCUUCUGAGAUUCAAUUUGUAAGUAAAGUAUCUUUGUAAGAUAUGCCCAAUCAACUGAGAAAAUCACUGCUUAUAAAGUGGGUAAUUUUCAGGCUAAUAAAUGAUACUGUAGUCAAGUCACAGUGCACAUGCCUUCACAUUCUGGACAGCAGGAAAUGCUAGCAGAUACUAUUUGGUUUUAUUCACAUUGAUAUUAUUUAUUAAGUAAGAAAGCAGCACCUUCCUUAAGUGUCUAUAAUCUGACAGGGAACUCCCCCAGCAUAACAUUUUUUAGAUCUGUCACUCAAAAUACCUACUAUGAUUUCUUCUCAAAGUAACAGCUUACUCGUUUAUCUGUUCCACUGUAUUUAAGACUAAUGUUGACACAUCAUAGAUAUGCCUGCAUAGAAAUUAUUCUAAUUUUUUUUACUUUAAACUAGAAAAUUUUCACUUUACUUGAAACAGGUCUCUUCCUACUAACAGUAGUAGAUUCAAUGUUCAGCUGUGUCUAAAGCUUACUGCCCUCAGCAUUGUUUAAGAACUUCUUUCACAGAUGAGAGGAAAAGUAGAGAUGUGUAGACAAAAGGAACAUAUUUUCUAAAUCCUCAGUUUAUAAUUCCAACAGAGCUUCUAAAUAACGUCCAAGUUUAAAAGCAUUAUAGUUUACACUUGGAUGACUGUAGUAGAUAAAUGCUUUAAAAGCAAUUAAUUGCUGCGCUUGAAAAGCCAUUAUUAUAUUCACUAUGCUUUCUAUAAUCAAAAUACAGUGCCAAAGAAUGCUGUCCUAGCUGAACUGCUGUGUGUUCAGCAAAUACACCUUGAAAAGAAAAUGCAGAGAAGUUGAUGGAAAUUCUCUAAGUAGAGAUGCUAAAAUAAAAUAUGUGGCCUUUAGAAAGAGGAAUUAACUUAAUUAUUUACGGUUGCGAUGACUGAGAAUAUUUUCCUGUCAUUUCACGAGCUCAUCAAACGAUAGGUAUCGACCCCUAUCACCGC